rnacentral:tRNA from 1 species
GCGGAAGUGGCGGAACUGGCAGACGCCCAGGAUUUAGGUUCCUGUGCCUUCGGGCGUGAGGGUUCGAGUCCCUCCUUCCGCA